rnacentral:rRNA from 1 species
GGGGAAUCUUGCGCAAUGGGCGAAAGCCUGACGCAGCAACGCCGCGUGGGGGAUGAAGGCCUUCGGGUUGUAAACCUCUUUCACCAUCGACGAAGCCUUUUGGGGUGACGGUAGGUGGGGAAGAAGCACCGGCUAACUACGUGCCAGCAGCCGCGGUAAUACGUAGGGUGCGAGCGUUGUCCGGAUUUAUUGGGCGUAAAGAGCUCGUAGGCGGUUUGUCGCGUCGGCCGUGAAAACCUACAGCUUAACUGUGGGCUUGCGGUCGAUACGGGCAGACUUGAGUUCGGCAGGGGAGACUGGAAUUCCUGGUGUAGCGGUGAAAUGCGCAGAUAUCAGGAGGAACACCGGUGGCGAAGGCGGGUCUCUGGGCCGAUACUGACGCUGAGGAGCGAAAGCGUGGGGAGCGAAC